CCGGUGCAACUACUUGCCUCACACUGCAGUGGGGGCAGGUGGCUUUUCCAGCCCCCCCUGGAGACAGACCGGGAUCAAGGACCCCCCCCAGACAGUGUCCAGUGUCUCCAGAAGCUGCCCCAAGUAUGGGGACAGGGAACAGCCCAGCCCUGACAGAGCCAGGCAGGUCUGUCCUGCUGGGCACUGAGAUGACCAGUGUGGGGAUGCCCCAUCUCUGUGACCCCAGGAGACAGGGGGCUCCUUGCCAGUGCUGCCAACCUGCACCCACAGGCUGGUGGGGUUCUUUUAAAUUAUUUCAAACUGAAACCCAAAAAUAUAUCUCUGGAAUAAUGAAAUACUGCCCUUGGCUUGCGGCUGGCAUGGAGGGGCUGGGGUUCUGCUUGCUGGCAUGGGCCGGGGGUGGGUGCCUGUUUUCCCAUGGCGCUGCUGGGGGUGGGGAGGACCUCAGUCUUGGAGAGUUUGAGUUCUUUUUUCCAGCCAUGGAAGGGGAAACUCGUGCCAAAAUGUGUCUCUCCAGCAGAUAGAGGUGGCAUGGCAGCAAUGGCUGCCCUCUGCAUGGCGGUGUCCCACAUCUGGGCACAUCUGCCUGCAGCAUCCCCAACAUCUGAGCACAGCUGCCUGCAGUGCAGAGGGGACCCCAAAACCUGCAGUGCCUCAAAAGCCAGGAGGGUGAUGCCCAGCAGAUGCUGGUGAGAGUUUUCCCCACUCCCUAGUGCCACAGGACCCUCUGCUUGUCCUGGAGCAAGAGUCAGGUGAGGACUGGAGAUCUGCACUUGCUGCACCUUUAUUUAGUGUUAACGGGAAGGGCACCACCAGCGACAGAAAAGCAAAUAUACACAGGAAAAGGGACCAGAGACAGUUGGGUGGUGUGCAGUGAUUCCAGAAGCUGGGCCACCCCCUGGACUACUGAAGGAGCAGUCCUGCACAGGAGUCAUUCCCAGAGGAUGCACAACCACACCGACAACAAUGCAGGGAUCGGAGGUGUGCAAACACCGUCCGGCAGCGAGCCCAGCUCCAUGGCCAGACUCACGCUCCCGGGAACCUGCUCUUGGAGAGGUAUAAGCCCGAGGAGAGCGGUGCAGACACUGCGAUAGCCAGCCCUGGAAAGCAGACACCGCCUAUUCCUUGCAGCGUAACCAAAGGAAACGGGAUGCUCUGCAAGGAUAAGGAGCCACUGUGAAAUGAGGAGUGCGGGUGGGCUCCGAGGGCACCACGUGUGCGUUAACGGCGAGAGCACCCGGGUGGGCGCAGGGCAGCUCGGCUGGGCCCCCAUCCGGCACCCGGCUGCAGAAGGCACGGUGCCACCAGCUGUGCAUCCAGCGGCGGGGACGGGGGGCACACAGACCUUGGAGGGAGCCACAAACCCGGUGGGGAGGAGUGUUCAGUCCUGGAGGUAAAGCCAUCCGGCGGCGAGCUUCCAAGGCUGGGAGGACGAUUUUGGGGGCGAUUUGGAAUUUCAUCAGAAGUCUUUGUGUCAGUGCCAAUUAACUUCCUCCCCCAGCCCAUCUGGGAGCCAUAAGCCAGGCUGUCCUGAGUCUUUUCAUGUUUGCAGCUUAAAUAUGGGAGCAGACUGGAGUAAGAAACCGUUUUUGCUUUCCUGAAGGGUCACCCCACAUCCCAUAAUCAGUGCUUGCAGCAUGACCCCUGUGCCUGCCUGUUCCUCCCCAGUGACACUUGCCCAGGUGAGCUUUCUUCGCCACAUUUUGGUAUUGCCCACCUGGCUACUCCACAUUCCCUGUACGAGGGAGACAACUUGGCUACCUGACACUGCUGAGACAACUCAAGUGACAAACAACUUGGAGGUAACAAAAGGACUGGGAAGGAAUACGGGAACAUGAUAUAGCUUUGAAUCUCCAGCCUUUUGGUUGCUUAAAAUGGAGGUGUCCAAAAAAUAAUGGUUGGGAAAAAUUAAAACAUCAUAUUUACAAGUUCAUAUGCACUUAAAAUACAUCACUGAGCACUGUUUCUCUGAUCAUGCAUGUCGUGCACCUGCAGAGAGAACGUGGCUCGGUCAUCAAAAAAAGUUUUUUUUUUCCUUAAAAAAAAUAAGUUAUUUUAGACCUGACAAAUCACUUGCCAAAGGGAAGCAGCUGUUAAACAGAAGCAGUGACUCAGUUAUACAAGGGCAAGGAAAGCAUCAGUCAACGAGCUUCAGAGGCUGCAUAAUGAGGGAGGCAAUUUUAAAAGCUUUAAGACACUCCCUCUCCAGCUCACCGCUGAUUGCCAGUGCUUGGCGUGCAGCAACCCAAGUUUAAAGCUCUGGGGUGUCUAACGGUGACCGGGUGGCCGAUGGCAGGACACGAGACCCUCCGGCUCUGCCUUCUGCCCAGGUGUGGAGGGUGGGAAGGCUCUGCUGCGGACUCAACGUGCUCUCUGAGCGGUGAGUCGGCGGCACAGAGCCGGCCCGCGGCAGGGGGGAGGCGGCGUGGGGCAGGGAGAGUGUGGCCGGGCCUCCCGCUGCCUGGUAAUGCUCGUGGCUGGCGGUGGCGGCGCGGUUUGUAAUGCUCAGUGAAUUCAUUAAUUCCUCCUCCCUGUCCCGUCCUCCCCAGGGCUCGCUGCUCUGUGUCCGCAUUCCACCGCAGGCAGCUCGGGACCGCCGCGACCAGCUCCUACCUGCACCGGGUGGACACGCGCGGCUUGAGUCCUCCUCCAGCUCCCCGGGUCCAGACCUGGAGCUCAGGUCCAGAUCACAGUGCACCAGGGGAGGAGGCAGCUCCAGUCCUCCAGCCCCUCUCCCCGGAGCCAAGUGAGACGCCGGCAAAGCCGAGCCGCAGUCCUCGGAGGAGGAUGGUGAGAGCUGGCUGCGGGUUUUCUCUGUGGGCGGACGGAAACAGUGAGAGUUUCAUUUCCCCGUGCUGCCGGGGCGAGGGGGCGGGGAGGGGGCGUCCAAGGAAGUUCAGUCCAUCACAGGACAAGGAACAGGAUGAGCACCACCAGCAAGAUGAUGAAGAGUACGAUAAUUGCACACCACUGCCGUCGAUCUGGAAGGAAAAGGAAGCAUCAGUCUUCCUGCUAUAGUGGGGAAGGAAAAUUGGGGGAGCACUUUCCUUUGUUGUACUGCUAGGAGCCCAAAGCCAUAAGAAGCUUAAAGCCAUAACAAGCCAAAACAGCAGUUCCUGUGGGAGCAUGCCUUACUGCAAGAUACAACGCCACAGCCUUUCUCCUCCAGGAUACAUCAGGUUUCGGGAACAGCUGUGGGAAUUCUGAGGUUUCUCCCCAACUAAGUUCAAACAGAUCUGAUAAGCUGGUUCAAAAACAAUUGGAAAGAACAAGCAGAGAGCUGCCAUGUUUGCUGUUCAUUCAUGGAGUAAUCUGUUUGCUAGAGGAACAAGAAGGGAUCUGGUGAAAGCUGCCCUGAAGAGCUCUGCCAGGAAGAGCUUGUGGCAGCUCCCCUUAGGAGAGGGCCAGGAAUAAGGUUUCCCUGGACGUCUUUACACUUCCCUGGCUCAACACUGCAUUGCCUCUGAGAGCUGCUGUCUGCCCCUGUGAGACAAUGGUGCAGCAGUGGGAACAGGGUGCUGGCAGCCCCCAACUCCUGGGCUCAGCAGCUACCCUGGGAAGAGCCCUCCUGGUCGGCCCUGGUACGAGAUGCCAGCAGAAAUGCUCUUUUCACAACACUCGGAAACACUCUGCAAUGAUUCAUGGGUUUUCCCAGAGGAAAGGGCAGAUACACAAGGUUUGCCAGCGGUUGUGCUGCUGCUGGGCUACUGGUGACCCAAAGUGCACUGUCAGCACUCCAAGCGGUCUCUCUAGGGCUGUAUUCCCACCACCUCAUAAAUCCCCUGGACAGCCUAAUCCUGCACAGCAGGAAUGCUUUUCCUCCUGGUUGGCUGCUGCCUUCACAAGGUACCUGAGCACCCACAGGAGAGGGGUACUGGAGGAGGUGACGCCAGGCACUCCGCCAGCGCUGGGAGAGGCGAGCUGGCGGCGGGGGACUUCCCGGCAGGCACGCCGGGCUUCCUGUUUGCUCUGCCCAUGGCACUCCGCCAGCCCACCGGCUUCAGGCACAGCCUUAUAAGGACUUUUCUCUGGGUUCAGCACAGAAUUCAGCCCUUUCCUCCACCAGAUGAUCUGAUCAACGACAGGCCUGCAGGCGCCAGCAGCCCGAGGGCAGGUGGGAUUCGGGAAGGGGCUUGCCGCAGGCAUUCCGGUGUGGGGGAAGCCACACAGUGACCAGGGUUAAUGGCACCUUGACAGCUUUUGUUCCACUGGCAGCACGGGAAACUGCAGCAGAGCAGGAGGCUGCAGAGCUUCCCCUCCUACCAGCCAGAGGGGGAUUUUCCCAGCAGUAGCGGCAUAAAUAGAAAGGCAUCUGUAAAUAAAACAAAGGCAGCUGCCGGGCCUGGAAGUCUUCCCCCUUGUUCAAGCACUGAGAGCUGCUCCCUCCCCUCUGCUGGGUGGGUGGGAGCACACAGUGUCCCAGCCUGAAGAUCUGAGGGCUUAUCCCUGCCUUUCCAGGACUGGAUUCCACUUCCCAGGACCUACCACUCGUCAUGUGAGACACUUUGGCGAGCUUCUUCAUGACGUUAUCAAGCCGCGACUGAGUGCUGUCUAACUCGUGGGAGAAGUCAUCCAGCAUCCUGGGGACACAGAAGCAGGACACUGGUCAGCAGGUGGCACAACCCUUUGGGAUUUCGCAGCGCGCUCACACACACUGAUCAAAACAUUGAUGGGAUCAGAGUAUCACACUUUGGCAGAGAAAAUGAGCAUGCCUCAAUCUCCUGGAAGCACCCAAGGGGAGAAAAAACCUGCUGAAGCAGCAGCUCCGCUUUGGUGGGAAGCAGGAAGUAAUUUGGGACUCCUGUCAGACUGAUCCCUGCUGUGUGUUCGGGGCUGAGCUCUCACGCAUCUGCAAGGUGAAGGGGGGGGGGCUUUCCUCCUUACAAGAGGAAAGUCUCAUUUAUAAUCUGUGAUUAGCAGGGACUAGUUAGAUCUAGGUGCCAGCUUGGAAUUUAAAUCUCUUUUCUUGUUCAAGGCUUGCAGUGGAAGCUAAAAUCUUGUUUCAGUCAUGUAUCAAGCGGGAAUGAGAUCUGCAAUUGCUUUGAAGGUGCUUUUUAAGCUCUGCGUGGAAGUUACCACUCUACUUCUUCCACCCAGCAACUGCAAUGAAUCUCAAAGCCUUCCUGAAUCCAUGCUUUAUCAAUGCCACUGCACAUCCAGAAUCAAGGUACAAAUCCAAUUGUCUCCAGCCAGUGGGACUUUAAAGCUUAAUGUGUUUAAAAGGACAGCUUCCUUCAUCUGGAGUUCUAGGGCACUUGUUAAACCUUCAUUCAGUGGGGAGAAAGGAAGAGUUGUAAAAACCUCACUGUGGUAGUUGUGUGCUAGUCUAGCAAGCACCGAUGGCUUGUGUGAUUAUCUGAAAACAGACAUACCACACUGACCUCUUCUGUGAGAGCAGAGGACUCUCACACUGCAGGACUUCACACAGGGGGUGGGUUUGAAGUCCCCCCCUCUCCAUCAAAGACGACACCACAUCACAAGUGACAUGGCCCUCCAGACUCCUACCAGCCAAACAAGGAGGGUUUUUAGGUAUGAACCCUCCAAGCCUCUCUGGAAGCACUGCUGUUAGCCUGCACAACUGGGAACUUGUUUGCAAAGGACAAGAACUGGGGGAGAAAUCUAAUUUAUAUGUAAAUGGGUGGAUGCAAAUGACUUUGUGAGCUGCCCUUUAACCCUUUGCAUGGGUGAGGGCUAUUUUUAGCUUUAAUGAUGAAGAGCACCUCUGUGUUGUGUGUUUCAGGGCGGCAAGGCAGAGCUGAGAGCUCCCAGCUCCAACAGUUAUCAGCGCAAAACCCUGCGGAGUGGGGAAGUGCUCAGUAUCCCCCCUUACACAGCACCUCCCUCUCUUAUUUGUCUGCUGGCUGCCUGAGGGGGAGCAUGUGCAAAGAAAAGAGGAGGAAAGGUAAGCUGGCAGCUAAGCCUGCCCUAGGUGCAGGCUUUCAAAUGAAGGAGGCUGCAGUUGGAUCCUUGCAGAUUACAGUACAAAAUGCUUUCCAAAGGCUGCCUGAGGGACCAGUAAAUUCAAGGCCCUAACAGGGGCAGAGAGAGGUGUUUGAGGACCUCCAGCUGUGUUGCAGCCAACCCCAUACCGGGUUUUUGUUGCCACAUCCCACACUUACACUGCUUGCUCCUCCAGCUCCCCGCCAAUGCGCUGGGACAUGUUCUUCAGCACCCCAAUGCUGCCAGAGACCAGCUCCAACUGCUCAUCUUGCUGCUCCACGAUCAACUGGGGCCAGAGAGAAGGGAAACGGGCAGUUACAGGUCUGCCUCCUGCAGCUGGGCUGGAACCAGCUGAUCCAGUGGACAGGCACUUGCUGCUCAGCCAACAUCAGCUGUGAGGCCUGGGCUCAGACUUAAGCCACCAGGAAUGAGGACCGUGUUCCUAAGAAACGCUGGAGAGGUGACAGCCAUAGGAAAGCCUCUGUGGCAUGGCAUCCCCAUGGCACAGCAGGCUGCAGCCUCCAGACAUCCCUGCAAAUCCAGCCUCAGCUCACCCACAACGCACCCACAGCUAAAACGACUGUGGGAAGCCACAGGAACUGGUCAUCAAAACCUUGGCAAGGUAAGCAAGUACAGCAGAGGACAUCUGGGAGCCAUGCUGAUGCUGUGCCUGGGAAAUGCAACCUGGAACAUGCUGCAGCUAACAAGGGGUUAAUGCAAGUAAGAGGCUGUUGCAGCUUCUACAGCUAAAAAUAGCCAGCCUGGCUCCAUGUGCCAAAGGAAUAAGUCUGCUGAUGUUUUAAGUCAUUUUCAGGACAGAGUCAUGCUAAGGAUUAGAUUUACCCUAGUUACCUAUUUCUGAAUCUAUUUAUCUUCCUAGAGUCAGUAGGUAAAACACUUCUGGAAGCUGGGGAGGCGUCAGAGGUCAGGAGAUUUAGCAGUUUGCCACCUCUGAGAAGCUGCCUGAGUAAAGGCCUGUAGUUGGCUGGGCUGCUGCACACGGUCUGUGCCCGGCCUGGGCACUUCUCCAGGCAAACUCCCCUGUCAGCUGGGAAGUGUCAGCUGGGAAGUGCCUCGCCAGGGGUUCUCCCAAAGCUCAGGCUUUCUCACUAAUCUCACGGUGACAAAGGCAGGAAAAGGAAGCAGGCGCGUGCUCCUGCUCCCAGCCUGUUCCGAGGGAGAUGCACAACAACAACAGCAAACACUUUUUAACCAGGGGAAGUUGCAUAAGAGAAACGGGUUCUUUUCUGUUUGCAACAUUUCUACUCUUCCAAGGAUUUCAGCAGUCCUUGUACUAUUACAGCUCAGCACGCUACAUAUUCCAGAUCGUGCUGACUGCCUUCUAAACAGAGCAGAAGCCUCAUGCCUCAAAGGUUAAAAGCUCAGUGCCAAGAUGCAUCCGAAGCUGUGCUGUACAGGAAAUACAGGCAAAGAUACAUGCCACAAGCAAAGAAGAUGACUGUCAGGCUCCUGGAUCCAGACCAGCCAAGGACUGGAUUUUUUUUGGCUCUCGCUGCCUGUACCUCAUCCCCCGGCACCCAUUUGGCAGCAAAGCUAUUUAUCCCACACGGUGCCAGCUGCCUUACCUGUUGUUGCGCUUGCUGCUCCUCGAUGAAGUGUGAAUUUGCUAAUUGCAGCUCCCGGUCCAGACGGCUGUAUUUGUCAGGUCCAGAGCUCCAACUCUGACUCCCACUGUCUCCCAGGAGUGCCUAAACAGAUGCAGAGAGCACUUAGCAACACCCUUGUGUCUGCUCACAGCCCAUCUGCAGGGUGUAGUGGGAAGGCAGACAAGGCAACACUCCUGUACACACACACACACACACACACACACACACACACACACACACACACACACACACAGAGCAUCCCCUUCCUCCUGCUGCUACUCAGCCAAACUGCUGUCAUGGACUAAACCAAUACAACGCCAAAAUUCCAGCCUGGUAAGUCUCUGCAGCCUCGUAUUGCAGAUAUGCCUCUCCAGCAGCAGGAGAGCUGGAGUAUGGCAGGAGGUCUGUGCAGCACAAAGGCCUAGCAAAGGCCUGCUCAAAAGGCACAGCACUGUGUGCUGUGAGCUGGGAAGUAUCUGGAUAUAUUGUGUUAACAGAUGUACAGCUUGAACUGAGUGCUGUGCUGCUAAUGACAGGGGCUUAAGAGGGUCUGGAUAAAGUACUUAACCAGUUGAGCUGACAGUAAGAUAGUGCAAUAUAACCAAAGCAGUGCUGUAUGCUUAUGUUCUAUGAUCCAGGCUGCCCUCCAGCAGGCGGUUCAGCUGCCAGCUUACCAGGUUACACUUGCUCCCUGCCCUAUGACCUGGACAGAGGAAAGCUUGUGUAGAGCCAGCUGAGUAUGUCUGGUCCCUGGAAGUGGAGUAACACAAGCAACAGAUGCUCGACAGUGCACCUGCAGGUGGUAAGGCUGAUGCAGAAUAGACAAGUGAACUGUGCACACCAGCUUUAUUGAGAUGGCUCUGGAAGUCAGCUCUGGGAUCUCCUUACAGCCUCCCUGUCAGCCAGGAAGGAGCACAAGCUGCAUCUAGUUCUAUGCCUUAGAUUACAAGCGCAGACAACUCAAGAUUCCUUGAGCUUCUUCCAUCUUCUCACAUGGCUAUUAUGGGAGGCAGCUGUGCAAAAGGAUAUUGCACCAUCUUGGCUCCUAAAUCCAGCAGAGAGCAGGAUUACAUUCACUGACAUGGAUUCUGAGGCGGUUCCCCCUGAGGAGGAGGAGGGAGAUUUCCCUUUCCAAGGGAUGAUGCAACGGUGACAGUUGUACACAACUAGAUCUGAAGACACAGACAGAUGGCGAGUGCUGACUUACUGCUUUGAGAGACAGGCUUGGAAAAGGGUGGCAGCAAUGUGCCUGCGAGAACCAGCUCUCCCAGGUCAGCCAAGCAGACAGGGCUCAAACACACAGCUCGGCCCCCACGUGCAAACCCCUUCCCAGAACAAAGGUUUGUAAGGGAAUCAACUACAGACAGGAUAUACAUUGUAACAGAUAUAUAUUGCCUGUUUCUGGCUCUCACCUGCCUGUUUUUUCUUUCAGCCAGCGCUUGCAUGGAGGAGUUCGACAUCUGAUCCUUCAUAUCCUGUUUGUUCAACAAAAGAAGCAGCAUGUGAGCACUGGAUUUGAGGUGACAGGCAGUUCCAGGGUGUUACAGGGCUGUCUAUACCCAGCAAGGGAAGGGAGGUUUUCUUUGAGAAUGUACAGUUUUGAAGAGUCUGGAAAGAUAUCGUAGAAAGUUUCAUUGCAGUUCAUAUUGUUCUACUAAUGCUAAAACCAAUGGCAAUGGGAUAUUUUGAUAAUAUUCCUUAUUUACUGCUCAUUUUGCUCUACUACAACCAGAAACACUUUGAUUUGUACAAUAAACUAAUAUUCCCAUUGAUAGAGUGUAAGGAAGAGUAAUGUUUGUUAAGGCCUUGGAAGCCUGUAAACCCCUGUGCUUUGUUCCCAGGUUCUAUAUUGCAUAGGAUGAGGUAGGUUUCCUGUCGUGUGGCCAACCUCUCUGUCUGUGCCUAGGUUUUCUCCUUACCAAUUAAUUUUUGCUGUGGAAUUCCUGCAGAAGGUCACUAACCACAGAAGGCUCCCCAUCUCAACAUAACAUAGUCUAGUUUUUAUAGGUUAGCAAGUAGUCAACACGAUCUGGCAGAGGCUGAUCCACCAGCACAGUUCUGAUGUCAUCAGAGCAUUCAGGUGUGUUUUACUGUUCAGAGAUGUGCAACUCAUCACUCAAGAGCACCAGAUCCCAUUGGUUACUUCUCACGGGCUAACAAUGCAUGUGCUGCUGCACAUCAUGAAUUCCUCCCCGAAAACUGGAAGUCAGCUGCACAUUGCCACUAACCAGUUUCAUUUACCAGUAGGAGACAUCGCUCCAAAAGCCAUUAGCCAGCAGUUUUCAGCCAGGUAAAGAGGACCAGAGAGCAGACCUGCCUGAUCCUGCCUGUUUGGGAGUGGACCACAGCAGGGGCAAGGCAGUGAGCACAUGCCUGCUGCCUGGGGCCAGCAAGGUUUCGGGAUCAGUUCCCAGGUAAGCCUUAGGAACUGCACCCAGACCGCAGGACUGCAGGUGGGGUUACAAGCCUGCUGCCAGCCACAGCAGUGCAUUCUGUGGAGCAGGAACAUCAGAGUCAUGAGGGGCAGCAGAAACUCAGUGUAGCUAUUAACAGAGAGAAAACUUCCUAACUAGCAGCUUGUUACCAGGCAGUGAGGCUUUGGGGAAGACAUUUCUUCUCUUUUUAUUGCUACCAAGUUGUUAAAAUCCCCUUUUUGCUUCUGAAGUGUGAUCUUAAACUAAAAAAAAAUCCUCCUUGAGUUAAAAAUAAAUCUAGUGGUUGCUUGGACUAUUUUUCAGGGGUAGGAAGUUGAAGUCACCACGUCAAUAACACCAGGCUUUAACCAUCUGCCAGUGUUUAAAGUGGUCUCCCUAUUUUUGAAAACUAGUGCUACAAGUGGUCAGGACAGUUGUGAUUCCCCUAAACUCUGAAGGGAGGCUCCAGCCUCCCCUGCAUCACAGCGGGGUCUUUACUCUUCCCCCCCAGUUACUACACAUUCCCAGGCUCACUGUUGUAAGAGAGGUGUGAAGACUUCCAGGGACAGCAGCAGAAAAGGAGGGAAUGCCACGAGACACCCGCACUCCCAAACCCACCUGGGCAGCCCCAGGCGGGAGCGCACGGGGAAGAGGAGGAAGUCUGGCACAGAGUGGGUAGCAGGUUUAUUCUCUGCUCCCAAGCUUGCCUUUUUUAACCAUCUUUUCUUAACCCCUCUACCUUCCCCAGGCUCUGGCCCCAAGCCCACAUUCCUUACCCUGACCACCUGCCGUGUGCUGGUGAUGAAGGCUUUCCUGAUGCCCAGCUCCGUCGCAUCGAGGUUGAAUUUCCGCGGGUUUGCCUCAACAAUGCGUGGGCAGCGAGUCAAGGAGUCCCCGGAAGUGGUGUUGGGUGCACACACGGACACACAAAACCCCAAGCGUGCCAAGUGGCCAUUGUUCUGUGCCCGUUCCCAAAAUUUGAUUAGCGAAGUACAGAACACUGGACGGAAGAACAGGCAUGGCAGGAAUGUACCGUGCACCAGCGGUAGGUUCCUCCUUUCCAUGUUUUUUUUUGGUUCUGUGAUGCUGUGCAGCGCUUUCAGGAGCGCUCAGAUGAACACAAGGGAAAAGGAGUAUUUCUGGAAGCCAGCCUAGGGUAUGACUGACUCCGCAGAAAUCCAGAUUCAUACAACACAAUAGGCUUUCUAGAACAAAGCAUCUUAGAAUAUACCUUGUAAAAAGGGAAACAAAAAAGCAAGGGGAAAAUCCUUGCCUUAAUUUUUCACUGAAGUUUGAGAAGAGCUAAUGUAAAUGUUAAAUUCAAUCCCAAACAGUCCUGAUUUCUGCAAAAAAUGGCAAGCACUGGUACUUGGGGAUUUAGUACAACUUGGGAACCACAAGCCCCUACCUCCAAAGGACCACAGAAAGGAUAUUAAUGGUUUCAUCCAGGUCUUCCAGGUCCCACUCGAUGCUCCGCAGGUUGUUCCUGAGCUCAUUUGUGGUCCAGUCGAUUUCUUCUCUUGUGGCGAUGGAGGGAUCCUGCAAGAGCUCUGUCCACCUCUGGAAGAGCCCCUGGGCAGUGUUUACGGCUUUCUGCACCUCCCUGCAGCCGGGGUGAGUGAAGAGAAGCCAAGGAAUUAUCAUCAGCUGCCCCGCAGCAGUGACACUGGGACAGCCCCGUGUCCAGCUGAGCAGGGAAGCUACCGCUUCCUCCCAAACAUCUUUCCUUCAAACAACUAGUUUGGUUUGUAAAAUAAGGAUUUGCCCUACCUCCUGGACAAUCCUGUCUCUUGCUGCAGCACAAGGUGCUGUGCAGCAACAACUUACAGCUAUUAAUGAAGGGACCUAUUUCUUCAGGGGAAGUGUCACACGGGCAAGCCAGGGCAGAGGGUCUGAAAGAGGCAGCUCUUUGGCAAUCCAUGUUUUGCAUUCCUCUCAACAGUUUUCCUCUGAAGGCUCUUGACUACCCAUGUAAGAUACCCCAAGGGCACACAGAGUUACAGGAACUGUCCCCACAACACAGCCAGGCAGACUGUUGAGUGCAGCACUGUUUAUUUUAAUUCAGCAUUUAAAAAAAUACACAGCCCUACUAUGCUGGCUUAGGGAACACAAGUUUUUUCUGCUGCUCUAAGCUCUUUUGGAGAUGAGUGCAUUCACAGCAGGGGAAGACUUUGCUGACAGCACUGCUCUGGGGCAAGCAGGUUUGUAAAUUUGGGUGGUGGGCCCUCAGUGUGGUUAUCUGUAUUUACAAACUCUGGGACCCUGAGCUGUGAACUGCUCCCCCAGGUUCACAGGGAGUUGGGAUGAAGUUGAGAUCAGACUGUGGUGGUGUGAAAGGUGGCCACCAUGAGCUUGCACACAGCAUCCAUGUCAGAUGCAGGUGUUUCACCCCAGUGAAGGAAAGCAGGCUAACACCAGGAGAAGCUCAGGACAGAUGAGAUGAGCCCACACCCUGCAGGGGUGCCAGGACUGCAGCUCUCACUGUUACACCAGGGCCUGAAGUCCUCAAACUGCUAUCUGAGCUGCAGCUCUCAGCGCCCCAGUGCGCGCCCCUCCUCUUCCCGCACGCCCACGGCUCCGAGUCUGCCACAUCGAGUGCCCUAAAGUCAGCAACCCACACUGAGGAUCUGGAAAACUUCAUUCCCUACUCUACUUGCCAGCAGUGCUUUUGGUUUUGUGUUGUUGGUUUUUUUUUCAUCUGAACACACUUGUGGAAGUACCCAGAAGCAGGAAUGUAAAGCAGAGCUGGAUGUCCUCCGACGGGAAGAGUUACAGACACCAGGAAAGCAAGCUAAAUGCAACUCUGGUUGGCUCCACAACCAACAGCCCCUCAGACCUGCCAGGUAAUAAUUAACUCUGGGAGCGGCAGCACAUCCCCUCUCCCCUCCCUGCCCUUCCCCAAAUGCCGCAGGAAUCUCUCUGGAAAGUCUGACAGGACAUUUGCUCCCCACCCAUGGCAACUCCUAUUUUUUCCCCUUAGCACCGUUUCAACCUGGCAGAGGGACUCACUUUCCCUGGCUGCACCAGCAUCCCUUCCCACACCUCCUGCACUCCCGUGGCUUCCCCCAUCACCCCCCUAUGAGCCUCUCUGCUGCUCCUCACUGCUGUUACAUUGUGACAUGGAGCAGAAGACCAUCCCCCAGCCAAAGCUGAAGGUGGCUCCGGGGCUGUGUUUUGAGACUGCAGUGCUUUCCCAGAAUCACAAAACAGCUGGAGUUGGGACCUCUGGAGAUCAUCCAGUCCAACCUCCCUGCCAAGGCAGGGUCACCUGAAGCAGGUGACACAGGAUGUGUCCAGGUGGGUUUGCAAUGUCUCCAGAGAAGGAGACUCCACGACUCCCCUGGGCAGCCUAUUCCAGGGCUCUGCCACCCUCAAUGUAAAGAAGUUCUUCCUUAUAUUGAGGUGGAACUUACUGUGUUUGAGUUCAUGGCCAUUGCUCCUCAUCCUGCUGCUGGGCACCACUGAACAGAGUCUGGCACCAGCCUCUUGGCACCCACCUUUGAGAUAUUUAUGUGAAUUGAUGAGAUCCCCUCUCAGUCUUCUCUUCUCCAGACUAAACAGGCCCAGCUCCUGCAGUCUCUCCUCAUUAGAGGGAUGCCCCAGACCCCAAAUCAUCCUUGUGGCCUCUGCUGGACUCUCUCCAGCAGCUCCAACGGAGCGACUUUUACCCUAUUAAGAAUAAUCUUCCCUUGCCCACCUUUGUGUUUGCCUGUGUUCCGUCUCCUCUCCGCUCGCUUCCUCUCACGGCCAUUGUCCGUCCCACAGCCUGGUCCCCGCUCCUCUCCCCCUUCCCCCAGGGACACCGCGGCCCCCCGGGGCUCCCAGCCCCGAGCCGCCAGCCCGCGGUGCCCGCUGCCCGCGGGGCCGCACCUGCAGCCAGGGCCGGGGUGCCCCCGCGGAGCGCGGGGAGGCCCAGCCGCGGCCCGACCCCUGCCCGCCCGCCCCCGGCGCCUCCCGUGCCCGGCCGCCACCGCCGGACCCCCGCGGUGCCCACACUCAGCCCCUCGGCAGCGCGGGGGGGCCCGGCCGCCAUUUUCCCCCCCACACAGAGACCCCUGCCCGCCGAUCGCUCCCCUCUCCGCGGGCCUCCCGCGCUGCGGGGCGGCCGCGCCCGCCCGCUCCGCGCCCGGGAGCGCCCGCGGCCCCUUCCCCGUCGCUCCGGCCGUGCCCCGGAGCCCCCCGCGGGCGGCACUCACCCCUUCACCACGAAGAAGGGGUCCUCCAUCGACAUGGCGCUGCCGCCGCCUCACGCCACGGCCGCCCACAGGCCCCGCCCCCGUCAGGCCCCGCCCUCGUCACGCCUCCAUCAGGACACGCCCCCGCAGCACCGCCUAUGGGGGCGUGGUCUGGUGACGUCACUCCGGCAUGGCGCGCGGGGCCCGGUCCCGGCGGGAUCGUGGAGCGGCCCCGGCUCUGCCAGGGAAGCUCCCGCAGUUCGCUCCGGGGUCCCUCACAGCCGCAUAAUCACAUACACAAUCGGUCAGGCGGGAAGGGACCACUCCGGGUCAUCUGGUCCCACCUCCCUGCUCAAGCAGGGUCAUCCGAGAGCACAUGGCACAGGAUUGUGUCCAGGCGGUUCUGGCAUAUCUUCGGUGAAGGAGACUCCACACCCUCCCUAGUCUCUGUUCCAGUGCACAGUAAAGAAGUUCUUCCUCGUGUUGAGGUGGAAUUUCUUGUGGAUCAGUGUCUGCCCGUGGCCUCUUGCCCUAUGAAUCAGCACCACUGAGCAGAGCCCGGUCCAUCCUCUGACCCCUCCCUUCAGAUACAGUCAUUGAUGAGGUCCUCUCUCGGUCACCUCUUCUCCAGGCUGAACAGGCCCAGCUCCCUCAGCCUUUCCUCCUAAGCGAGAUUCUCCAGACCCUUGACCAACUUAGUAGCUCUCCACUGUACCUGCUCCAGGAGCUCCAUGUCUCUUUUAUACUGUGGAGUCCAGAACUGCUCACAGUACUCCUAAAUGUGGCCUUGCCAGGGCUGAGUAGAGGGGUGGGAUCACUUCCCUGGAUGCCUGAGUCUCAGCAGCCCUAUCAUGACAGAGGUGGUUCCAUAUUCCUACCUAAUGCCUUCCCACAACAGUCCCCAGACUGAAUCACUGGCAUCACUGUGCCACCAGCAAGACAGUGCAGAAGGCGGUAUAUGUCCAAUUCCUUGUGUUAUGUCGAUUUAUAAUGUUAAUUAAAAAAAAAAAAGAAGAAGAACAAAAAGCAGCCUUCUUAGUGAAGAGAGUAAGUGAGGUAAGGAGUUCAGCCACCAUCUCCUCACACACCUGGAGUUAGCAGCUGUAUUGUCCAUGCCAGACUAUUUUGUGUGGAGGACAUUUUGUGCUUUAUGCCAAAGCCAGGACAGUAACUUUUUUCUCCCUCACAGGAUUUGCAGUCUUACAAACCUCAUACAAGCCAGCCAGCCAGCCUCUACACCCAGGUUCAUCGGUCACGUCACAAAAACCUGUGUCCAAGUGUGGAGAUAAUCCAGAAAAAGAAGGGUUCCCAACCAUUUGCCUGCUCUGCACAGGCACAGGGAUCUCCUGCUGAAAGGGUUUCCUCCACCUACUGCUCAUUUCUGUUCUGCACCCUGCAUUGGAGACACCUUUCUCACUCCUUGCUUAUUUGCUAUCCUAGUUGAUAAAAUGAGUAAUAUGCACUUGCCAAGAAGGAGGGGAAACUUCCAGCCACAGGGAAGCUCCAACAGCUCUCCCUGCAGCAUUCUGAGGCCCCACAUCCCUCUCACCCUACGUGCCGGAGUCUUGGCACUGUGGGGUCCCAUCCUGCCCUGGGCUGGGGUCCCCAUUCCAAGGAGGAGCAGCUCAUCCAGCCCGUGUUCCCAGCCAGUGUGGGAGGAAAAAGGAGGGAGCUACAGGCAGUCUGCUUGGCUCCUGCUGCCCUUCCUUCCCUGGGAAGGCACAGGCACUGCUUCCUUCCUCCUGCCUUGUUCGGGGUUAGAACAGCCCUGUACCACUUGGCUUUUGUCCAUCCCAGGGUGAGGAUCCCUCCCUCCCUCAUUCCCACCUCUCCUAAAUCUCUGGGCUCUGACAGCUGCGAGCACAGGUAGCCCUGGGCUUGGAGCAGCUGGCAGGAGGGGAAUGGAGCCUGCAGUGCUGGGGGAUGUGCCCAUCCACAUCUACACAGUAGAGAUCCCUCUGCAAAGGGAUGUCCCUGCCUCACUCCCAUGGGACAGUCUGGCACAACGAUUGAUUUUGCAGAGGCUUGGCCAGGAGGAUUGCCCCGCAUUUUGACCGAAGUGCACACCCCUGCCUGCGCUUCCCAAACAUGGCAGUGGUCCAGCAUGCUGAGCAAAGGCAGUGCCAGUUCACUGAGGGAAUGGGCACAAACCCCACUGGCAGAGGUGCCUCCUCAGCAUGGGAACUGGAUACCUGGCUUUUGCAAUCCCAGCAGUCUUCCUCACCAGUGUGGGGUGGGAAGGCUGUGGCACAUGUUGAACCGGUUUCUGCAAGUUUUAGGGGGUGAGAAAUACUCCUCCUGCUCCGGCCAGCCCCACACCAGGUGUGGUGCAAUAGGUGGCAGCUUUAGGGCUGGUGUUUGCUGGCCCUUCCUUGCCUCAUCUUGGAUGGUUUUCCCACGCUGGCAGGUUUUGGGAUGUCCCUGCCAAACGUGUGCUGAGCAUGGGAGGUUCCCUCCAGGAACAAACAGAGUGCCAAGGAGUCACUGGGCCAGUUUGUCCGUCCCUGUCCCCCAAAGGCCUUACACUCCCCAAAGCCUCAUGAUCCUCCCAUGACUUCUGCAUGUGCAUCACCUGAAACAUUCAUUGCAUUGGAAAUGAAAAAGGGAAAAGCUCCCAUAGCCUCUUAGAGUCAGUAGCUAAGAAUUUCAGAAAUCCUUUAAUAAGUUAUGUGAGUACUUUAUUCACUUAAUUGAAAACGAUUUCUUUUUUUACAGAAUCAUUUAGGUUGGAAAAGACCUCUAAGAUCAUCGAAUCCAUUUGUGAAAAAGUGUAAAGCUUCACAGAGCUGUUGAGGGCUGAAGUUCUCCUUGAUGGUGGGAGGAGGGAUUCGACAGAGAGGAUCUGCUCUGCCCUUGGAGAGGAUCUGCUCUGCCCUUGCUGCUCUUGGUGGUGGUUGCUAUUCUGUGGUGUGAUUUUCUGGCAAGUCUCAAAGACCCUGAUCCCCCUGGGGGUCCUUGAAGGAAGCGGGAAGUGGAGUGGGCAGCCUGUCCUAGGAUAACAAACAGCUCCGUGGCUCCAGAGCAUCACUGUGCAACCUCCCCAUCAGGCCCAAGCGGGAAGCAGUCGCACAGAGGACACAUCUGCACUCUGGGGCGUGCAGAGGGCUGUGGUUGUCAUUUGCCCGAUGGCUACAAGGAAGGUGACAUUGAGAUACAGGGAGAGAGGAAAAAAAAAUAAUUAGGCUGAGACUCCUCUGGGCAGAGGAUGUACCCUGUGGAUUGCUGAACUGUGACUGCAGCUGGCUCUGCGCGGAGUUCUCGUGAUUAAUUGGGGAUGUUUAACCCCAGCCGCCGAGGCUGCCGCCUUCUCCAGCACAGAGUUUGCUUGGGAGCAAAUCACUCCAGUGAAAAACACCGGCUGGGCUGGGAAGCCAGAGGAUCGUCUGCUGGGCUGCAUCCCAGAGCUGUCCUGCUUCUUUUCCCCCUGGACACAAGGCAGCCUUUGGAAACGGGACAGGACCCAUUGCAGGCGUAUCAGAGAGGGAAAAAAACAUACAGGAAGGUGGACUACAAUAGAAGGGUUGUCUGAUAGGAAACCCCGGACAAAUAAAUGCAUUUUUUUCCCCAGGAAACCCAAACCAGUUCCAUAAGCCACUGAAAGAUAUGGGGCCAUAUUUUUCCAAGGGAAACGGCUGCGUGAAGAAGCUGAUAGCUGGGAGUGGGGGUUUUUUCCCCCUUUGUGUUUGGAGAGGUUGCAGGAGGAGUAGCAGGAUAUCUGCUGGGCAAGGGCUCCGAGUCACAAGUCUCCAGAGGACGGGAGGGAAAUCCCAAGCCUGUGUCUCAGAGCGAGGCAAGGGAAAUUUUAAAUCAUUAAUGUAGGGGGAAAAGGGGGAAUCCCAGGUCACUGGGAAAAAAACCAAAGAUGCAUAGGAGAGAGUCCUGCCUGCCUGGGGUAUCAACACUAUAAUCUCUGUCGAUGGGAAGGGGUUUUUAACUCCGGAAAAACCCUUUGCUUUCUAGUACAUGGCUGUGCUGCAGGCUCACACCUCACAGUGGUUUCGGGGUAGGUGACAGAGCUGCUUCCUGUCCUUUGGGUUUAGGUCUGUAUCGAUUUGUUUGUGUUUGUUUCGCUUGUGUUUGGUUUUCAUUCAACAGCGAUAGUGGUCGGUACUCUUGGCUGUGUUUUGGGAUGUUUCCCAGCUCUUCUGACCUUAUCUCCAAGCACGGAUAAACCAGAGCAGUUGGGAGCCCUGGGGGAUUAGUUACCGAUAUCCGAUUGCGGCAGGUCCAGACCGCAUCCAUGCGAAUCAUCGAUAUUUCUGGAAUAAAACCCAACCAUAACAACCCUCCUCCUCCACCUCCCGAGCGCUGCAUGGGUCCCUCACAAUUCAGAUGUUUAUUCGCAUCCAGAAAUGAACUCAAGCUGUGGAUGGAUUCCCAUUUGGAAAUGUUCCUCCCUGUCCUGUUUCGUUUACGUCAGCAAUCGCUGGGGAUGUGCCUGGAUCUCCCUGGGGCUUUGGCUGUCCUGAAGCUCUGUUUUUGCUGCAGGCAGCUGCUGGUGCAAAGGCUGUAGCCCCAACCCUACUUUUAGUGAGGGAUAUCUGGUUGAUUUGUUCCCAACCUCUUCCCAGGAAGGGUCUAACGCACAAAUCUUGGUCCGAAUUGAAGAGAGAGUGGCCGAUGCACUGCAGUGGUGCUGAGACAGCCAAGGGAAGUGAUGGAUGAGUUCAACCUGUGCUUUGAGGAGACCUUAAUUUCACUAUCCAUCCUACCAGGAGGGUUUUCCACCUCUUUACUGCAUAUGGCUUCCCCCUGGGGCCUGGGCCACACAUUU